CACAUGCAAGUCGAGGGGUAGAGUUCUUCGGAACUUGAGACCGGCGCACGGGUGCGUAACGCGUAUGCAAUCUGCCUUUUACAGAGGGAUAGCCCAGAGAAAUUUGGAUUAAUACCUCAUAGUAUUAUGAAAUGGCAUCAUUUUAUAAUUAAAGUCACAACGGUAAAAGAUGAGCAUGCGUCCCAUUAGCUAGUUGGUAAGGUAACGGCUUACCAAGGCUACGAUGGGUAGGGGUCCUGAGAGGGAGAUCCCCCACACUGGUACUGAGACACGGACCAGACUCCUACGGGAGGCAGCAGUGAGGAAUAUUGGACAAUGGGCGCAAGCCUGAUCCAGCCAUGCCGCGUGCAGGAUGACGGUCCUAUGGAUUGUAAACUGCUUUUAUACGAGAAGAAACACUGCUUCGUGAAGCAGCUUGACGGUAUUGUAAGAAUAAGGAUCGGCUAACUCCGUGCCAGCAGCCGCGGUAAUACGGAGGAUCCAAGCGUUAUCCGGAAUCAUUGGGUUUAAAGGGUCCGUAGGCGGUUUAAUAAGUCAGUGGUGAAAGCCCAUCGCUCAACGGUGGAACGGCCAUUGAUACUGUUAAACUUGAAUUAUUAGGAAGUAACUAGAAUAUGUAGUGUAGCGGUGAAAUGCUUAGAGAUUACAUGGAAUACCAAUUGCGAAGGCAGGUUACUACUAAUGGAUUGACGCUGAUGGACGAAAGCGUGGGUAGCGAACAGGAUUAGAUACCCUGGUAGUCCACGCCGUAAACGAUGGAUACUAGCUGUUGGAAGCAAUUUCAGUGGCUAAGCGAAAGUGAUAAGUAUCCCAC
rnacentral:rRNA from 1 species